rnacentral:rRNA from 1 species
GUGAACCAGCGGAGGGAUCAUUACUGAGUUACCGCUCUACAACCCUUUGUGAACAUACCUAACCGUUGCUUCGGCGGGCAGGGGAAGCCUCUCGCGGGCCUCCCCUCCCGGCGCCGGCCCCACCACGGGGACGGGGCGCCCGCCGGAGGAAACCAAACUCUAUUUACACGACGUCUCUUCUGAGUGGCACAAGCAAAUAAUUAAAACUUUUAACAACGGAUCUCUUGGUUCUGGCAUCGAUGAAGAACGCAGCGAAAUGCGAUAAGUAAUGUGAAUUGCAGAAUUCAGUGAAUCAUCGAAUCUUUGAACGCACAUUGCGCUCGCCAGCAUUCUGGCGAGCAUGCCUGUUCGAGCGUCAUUUCAACCCUCAAGCACCGCUUGGUUUUGGGGCCCCACGGCAGACGUGGGCCCUUAAAGGUAGUGGCGGACCCUCCCGGAGCCUCCUUUGCGUAGUAACUAACGUCUCGCACUGGGAUCCGGAGGGACUCUUGCCGUAAAACCCCCAAAUUCUUUACAGGUUGACCUCGGAUCAGGUAGGAAUACCCGCUGAACUUAAGCAUAUCAAUAAGCGGAGGAA